rnacentral:rRNA from 1 species
GGAGCCAUCCUUGGGAUACCACCCUUGUAGUACUGGGACUCUAACCAUAGGCCAUGAAUCUGGUCUUGGGACACUGUCAGGUGGGCAGUUUGACUGGGGCGGUCGCCUCCCAAAAGGUAACGGAGGCGCUCAAAGGUUCCCUCAGUACGGUCGGAAAUCGUACGUAGAGUGUAAAGGCAAAAGAGAGCUUGAUUGCAAGACAUACAGGUCGAGCAAGGAUGAAAAUCGGACUUAGUGAUCCGGUGGUUCUGCGCGGAAGGGCCAUCGCU